rnacentral:rRNA from 1 species
CGGGAGGCAGCAGUGAGGAAUAUUGGUCAAUGGGCGGAAGCCUGAACCAGCCAUGCCGCGUGCAGGAAGACGGCCCUACGGGUUGUAAACUGCUUUUACACGGGAAGAAUAACCCUGACGUGUCAGGGGAUGCCGGUACCGUGUGAAUAAGGAUCGGCUAACUCCGUGCCAGCAGCCGCGGUAAUACGGAGGAUCCAAGCGUUAUCCGGAUUUACUGGGUUUAAAGGGUGCGUAGGCGGGCGCCUAAGUCAGUGGUGAAAGGCAGCGGCUCAACCGUUGAACUGCCAUUGAAACUGGGCGUCUUGGAUACGGUCGAGGCUGGCGGAAUGCGUGGUGUAGCGGUGAAAUGCUUAGAUAUCACGCGGAACGCCGAUUGCGAAGGCAGCUGGCCAGGCCGUUAUCGACGCUGAGGCACGAAAGCGUGGGGAUCAAACAGGAUUAGAUACCCUGGUAGUCCACGCCGUAAACGAUGAUCACUGGAUGUUGGCGAUACACCGUCAGCGUCUGAGCGAAAGCAUUAAGUGAUCCACCUGGGGAGUACGAUCGCAAGGUUGAAACUCAAAGGAAUUGACGGGGGCCCGCACAAGCGGAGGAACAUGUGGUUUAAUUCGAUGAUAC